GACGAACGCUGGCGGCGUGCCUAAUACAUGCAAGUAGGACGCAGUUGCGAACGGGUGAGUAACGCGUAGGUAACCUGCCUAUUAGAGGGGGGUAACUAUUUGAAACGAUAGCUAAUACCGCAUACUAGUAGAUGGAACUGCGUUGUAUUAGCUAGUAGGUAGGGUAAUGGCAGACCUAGGCGACGAUACAUAGACGACCUGAGAGGGUGAUCGGCCACACUGUGACUGAGACACGGCCCAGACUCCUACGGGAGGCAGCAGUGGGGAAUAUUGCACAAUGGGCGCAAGCCUGAUGCAGCCAUGCCGCGUGUAUGAAGAAGGCCUUCGGGUUGUAAAGUACUUUCAGCGGGGAAGCGUUACCCGCAGAAGAAGCACCGGCUAACUCCGUGCCAGCCGCCGCGGUAAUUC
rnacentral:rRNA from 1 species